rnacentral:hammerhead_ribozyme from 1 species
AUCCAGCUGACGAGUCUCAAAUAGGAUGAAACGGGCGUCCUGGAU